CCCGAAGAAAGUGAUUUGUGCAUUGAUUUAUCCAGAUUGAUCACCAUCCUCGUGAUGAUCCUAUGAUCGAGAGUAUUUAAGAAUUAAAUACAUAUCUCUAAUUCUCAAUACUUUGAGAAUAUAUAUCGAAAGUUAAUUCCAUGGUCGAUUCAAGGAUACAUCACACUUGAAUGAAGAAUAAAUUUAUUUUUUUAUUGAUCAAAUCAAUAUAUUAAGUACAAAAUUACAUCCUAGAUUUAUUACAAUGCAUUAGUCAUAUUGACUUCUAGGACAUACAUCUAACAAAAAUAUACUGCAAUGGCAAGCAAUGCAUGGAUGGAUUUAAGCAUGGCCAC
rnacentral:lncRNA from 1 species